rnacentral:rRNA from 1 species
ACAGCAGCAGCCGCGGUAAUACGUAGGUGGCAAGCGUUGUCCGGAAUUAUUGGGCGUAAAGGGCUCGCAGGCGGUUUCUUAAGUCUGAUGUGAAAGCCCCCGGCUCAACCGGGGAGGGUCAUUGGAAACUGGGAAACUUGAGUGCAGAAGAGGAGAGUGGAAUUCCACGUGUAGCGGUGAAAUGCGUAGAGAUGUGGAGGAACACCAGUGGCGAAGGCGACUCUCUGGUCUGUAACUGACGCUGAGGAGCGAAAGCGUGGAGAGCGAACAGGAUUAGAUACCCGUGUAGUCCCUGUCUCUUAUAC